rnacentral:rRNA from 1 species
UGCAGUCGAACGGUGAAGCAGAGCUUGCUCUGUGGAUCAGUGGCGAACGGGUGAGUAACACGUGAGCAACCUGCCCCUGACUCUGGGAUAAGCGCUGGAAACGGCGUCUAAUACUGGAUAUGUGACGUGACCGCAUGGUCUGCGUCUGGAAAGAAUUUCGGUUGGGGAUGGGCUCGCGGCCUAUCAGCUUGUUGGUGAGGUAAUGGCUCACCAAGGCGUCGACGGGUAGCCGGCCUGAGAGGGUGACCGGCCACACUGGGACUGAGACACGGCCCAGACUCCUACGGGAGGCAGCAGUGGGGAAUAUUGCACAAUGGGCGGAAGCCUGAUGCAGCAACGCCGCGUGAGGGAUGACGGCCUUCGGGUUGUAAACCUCUUUUAGCAGGGAAGAAGCGAAAGUGACGGUACCUGCAGAAAAAGCGCCGGCUAACUACGUGCCAGCAGCCGCGGUAAUACGUAGGGCGCAAGCGUUAUCCGGAAUUAUUGGGCGUAAAGAGCUCGUAGGCGGUUUGUCGCGUCUGCUGUGAAAUCCGGAGGCUCAACCUCCGGCCUGCAGUGGGUACGGGCAGACUAGAGUGCGGUAGGGGAGAUUGGAAUUCCUGGUGUAGCGGUGGAAUGCGCAGAUAUCAGGAGGAACACCGAUGGCGAAGGCAGAUCUCUGGGCCGUAACUGACGCUGAGGAGCGAAAGGGUGGGGAGCAAACAGGCUUAGAUACCCUGGUAGUCCACCCCGUAAACGUUGGGAACUAGUUGUGGGGUCCAUUCCACGGAUUCCGUGACGCAGCUUACGCAUUAACUUCCCCGCCUGGGGAGUACGGCCGCAAGGCUAAAACUCAAAGGAAUUGACGGGGACCCGCACAAGCGGCGGAGCAUGCGGAUUAAUUUGAUGCAACGCGAAGAACCUUACCAAGGCUUGACAUAUACGAGAACUGCCCAGAAAUGGUCAACUCUUUGGACACUCGUAAACAGGUGGUGCAUGGUUGUCGUCAGCUUGUGUCGUGAGAUGUUGGGUUAAGUCCCGCAACGAGCGCAACCCUCGUUUUAUGUUGCCAGCACGUAAUGGUGGGAACUCAUGGGAUACUGCCGGGGUCAACUCGGAGGAAGGUGGGGACGA